UACGUAGGGUGCAAGCGUUUGUCCGGAAUUAUUGGGCGUAAAGAGCUUGUAGGCGGUUUGUCGCGUCUGCUGUGAAAUUUCGGGGGCUCAACCCCGAACUUGCAGUGGGUACGGGCAGACUAGAGUGUGGUAGGGGAGACUGGAAUUCCUGGUGUAGCGGUGAAAUGCGCAGAUAUCAGGAGGAACACCGAUGGCGAAGGCAGGUCUCUGGGCCAUAACUGACGCUGAGAAGCGAAAGCAUGGGGAGCGAACAGG
rnacentral:rRNA from 1 species